AAUGGGCGAAACGUGACCCAGCAACGCCGCGUGAAGGAUGAAAUCCCUCGGGAUGUAAACUUCGCAAGAACAGGAAGAAUAAGUGAGAGUUAAUAUCUCUCACGAUGACGGUACUGUUUGUAAGCUCCGGCUAACUCCGUGCCAGCAGCCGCGGUAAUACGGGGGGAGCAAGCGUUGUUCGGAUUUACUGGGCGUAAAGG
rnacentral:rRNA from 1 species